rnacentral:rRNA from 1 species
AGGGAAUAUUGCUCAAUGGGCGAAAGCCUGAAGCAGCAACGCCGCGUGAAGGAUGAAGGCCCUCGGGUUGUAAACUUCUUUUAUGAGUGAAGAAUAUGACGGUAACUCAUGAAUAAGCACCGGCUAACUACGUGCCAGCAGCCGCGGUCAUACGUAGGGUGCAAGCAUUAUCCGGAGUGACUGGGCGUAAAGAGUUGCGUAGGCGGUUAGUAAAGCGAAUAGUGAAACCUGGUGGCUCAACCAUACAGACUAUUAUUCGAACUCACUAACUCGAGAAUGGUAGAGGUAACUGGAAUUUCUAGUGUAGGAGUGAAAUCCGUAGAUAUUAGAAGGAACACCAAUGGCGUAGGCAGGUUACUGGACCAUUUCUGACGCUAAGGCACGAAAGCGUGGGGAGCGAACC